rnacentral:rRNA from 1 species
AAUAGAUCCCGGGUAGUCCAUGCCGUAAACGUUGGGAACUAGAUGUGGGGACCAUUCCACGGUUUCCGUGUCGCAGCUAACGCAUUAAGUUCCCCGCCUGGGGAGUACGGCCGCAAGGCUAAAACUCAAAGGAAUUGACGGGGGCCCGCACAAGCGGCGGAGCAUGCGGAUUAAUUCGAUGCAACGCGAAGAACCUUACCAAGGCUUGACAUAUACGAGAACGCUCUAGAAAUAGAGAACUCUUUGGACACUCGUAUACAGGUGGUGCAUGGUUGUCGUCAGCUCGUGUCGUGAGAUGUUGGGUUAAGUCCCGCAACGAGCGCAACCCUCGUCGUAUGUUGCCAGCACGUAAUGGUGGGAACUCAUAUGAGACUGCCGGGGUCAACUCGGAGGAAGGUGGGGAUGAGGUCAAAUCAUCAUGCCCCUUAUGUCUUGGGCUUCACGCAUGCUACAAUGGCCGGUACAAAGGGCUGCAAUACCGCAAGGUGGAGCGAAUCCCAAAAAGCCGGUCUCAGUUCGGAUUGAGGU